UACGGAGGGUGCAAGCAUUAAUCGGAAUAACUGGGCGUAAAGAGCGCGUAGGUGGAUAAACAAGUCAGAGAUAAAAUUUCUUAGCUCAACUAAGAAAAGGACUUUGAAACUGUAGAUCUAGAGGGUAAACGGAGAAAACAGAAUUUCACGUGUAGCGGUGAAAUGCGUAGAUAUGUGAAGGAAUACCGGUGGCGAAGGCGGUUUUCUAGUUUACUCCUGACACUGAGGUGCGAAAGCUAGGGGAGCAAACAGG
rnacentral:rRNA from 1 species